rnacentral:rRNA from 1 species
GACGAACGCUGGCGGCGUGCCUAAUACAUGCAAGUAGAACGCUGAAGGAGGAGCUUGCUUCUCUGGAUGAGUUGCGAACGGGUGAGUAACGCGUAGGUAACCUGCCUGGUAGCGGGGGAUAACUAUUGGAAACGAUAGCUAAUACCGCAUAAUAGUAGAUGUUGCAUGACAUUUGCUUAAAAGGUGCACUUGCAUCACUACCAGAUGGACCUGCGUUGUAUUAGCUAGUUGGUGGGGUAACGGCUCACCAAGGCGACGAUACAUAGCCGACCUGAGAGGGGGAUCGGCCACACUGGGACUGAGACACGGCCCAGACUCCUACGGGAGGCAGCAGUAGGGAAUCUUCGGCAAUGGACGGAAGUCUGACCGAGCAACGCCGCGUGAGUGAAGAAGGUUUUCGGAUCGUAAAGCUCUGUUGUAAGAGAAGAACGAGUGUGAGAGUGGAAAGUUCACACUGUGACGGUAUCUUACCAGAAAGGGACGGCUAACUACGUG